ACAUGCAAGUCGAACGAACCUUCGGGUUAGUGGCGGACGGGUGAGUAACGCGUGAGAAUCUGCCCUCAGGAGGGGGAUAACGGUUGGAAACGACCGCUAAUACCCCAUAUGCCUACUGGUGAAAUGAAUUUCGCCUGAGGAUGAGCUCGCGUCUGAUUAGCUUGUUGGUGAGGUAAUGGCUCACCAAGGCUUCGAUCAGUAGCUGGUCUGAGAGGAUGAUCAGCCACACUGGGACUGAGACACGGCCCAGACUCCUACGGGAGGCAGCAGUGGGGAAUUUUCCGCAAUGGGCGAAAGCCUGACGGAGCAACGCCGCGUGAGGGACGAAGGCCUCUGGGCUGUAAACCUCUUUUCUCAAGGAAGAAGAUAUGACGGUACUUGAGGAAUAAGCCACGGCUAAUUCCGUGCCAGCAGCCGCGGUAAUACGGGAGUGGCAAGCGUUAUCCGGAAUUAUUGGGCGUAAAGCGUCCGCAGGCGGCUUUUCAAGUCUGCUGUUAAAGCGUGGAGCUUAACUCCAUCAUGGCAGUGGAAACUGAAAGGCUUGAGUAUGGUAGGGGCAGAGGGAAUUCCCGGUGUAGCGGUGAAAUGCGUAGAUAUCGGGAAGAACACCAGUGGCGAAGGCGCUCUGCUGGGCCAUUACUGACGCUCAUGGACGAAAGCCAGGGGAGCGAAAGGGAUUAGAUACCCCUGUAGUCCUGGCCGUAAACGAUGAACACUAGGUGUCGGGGGAAUCGACCCCUUCGGUGUCGUAGCUAACGCGUUAAGUGUUCCGCCUGGGGAGUACGCACGC
rnacentral:rRNA from 1 species